CUCUGUGUGAUCGACCUCCUCACUAUUUUUCUCACACCCUAGGUACCUUUACACAUUUUUGGCAUAUAGCAGAUGCUCUUAUCCAGAGCAAUUUGUCAGUGCAUUCAUCUUAAGAGAACUAGAUGGGACAACCAAAUAUCACAGUUAUAGUAAGUACAUUUUCCUCAAAGUCAGUGCUUAGUAGUGUGGGUGGGAAAGGUGGGGGCGCUGUGGGAUUUAGUCAAUGCCAGGAGAUUUUCCUGGUUAGGUUACGUGGUCAGGGAACUCCUAGCCCUACAUACUAAACAAUGUAAUAGUAAUGUAUUCAACAGACUAAAACACCUUUUACAUUAACAAAACACCACAUAACUGUAAUGUUUAUCAUACAACAUUUUGUGUCUCUGAUGCUAUAUUGGGUAUUUAUAUAUAAUUUUAAAAAAUCAAGAACAAGGCCCAUACCAGCCUGUAGCCAUGGUAACAUUAGAGGAAUACACAAGACUGAUGACUCUAUCAUUUUAUAGAUAUAUUUACUUGGUCAAACUGUCAGUGUUGUCCUCAGUGUCAUCCAUUUUCUUGUUUAUAUGCGAGUUCUGUAUGUGUAUUGUGUUUUGUUUCCCUUCCAACCUGGUCCCCCAUCUUAACUCUGAGAUGUUGGAGAGGACAUUGAAGGCCCCAGGGUUCCUGUGCUCUGCUACUCAUCCUUUAUCAAGCUCUUUAUGGAUGGCCAGACUUCUUUCCCUGUGACCGAGCACCCAACUGAUGAGAUGGACCCCUCCCAGAUUCUGACCCGGGCCCAGUAGGUACUUCUGAAGACUCUCUGACACCCCCAACCUCACUGUCUCAACAUCAGCUGAACCAGCUGGAGGUCUUAUGUGUUGACCUGGAAGCAGCUCUGAUCUUUCAACUCAGCCCUUCCAGCCUCAGCCAAGAGUUGGACUUCCUCUG